UAGGGAAUAUUGCUUAAUGGGCGAAAGCCUGAAGCAGCAACGCCGCGUGUGUGAAGAAGGCCUUCGGGUUGUAAAACACUUUUUGAGGGAAUGAGGAAGGACAGUACCCUCAGAAUAAGCCUCGGCUAACUACGUGCCAGCAGCCGCGGUAAAACGUGGGAGGCGAGCGUUAUCCGGAUUUACUGGGCGUAAAGCGCGUGCAGGCGGCACGGCAAGUUGGAUGUGAAAGCUCCCGGCUUAACUGGGAGAGGUCGUUCAAAACUGCCGAGCUAGAGUGCGGGAGAGGGAGGUGGAAUUCCGGGUGUAGUGGUGAAAUGCGUAGAUAUCCGGAGGAACACCAGUGGCGAAAGCGGCCUCCUGGACCAUUCCUGACACUCAGACGCGAAAGCUAGGGUAGCAAACGG
rnacentral:rRNA from 1 species